UAAGAAGAUACUUACCCAGCAGGAGACUCGAAGGAACUGGGUGGCGUUUUGUCAAUGAGCGAUUAUCAUCCAUUUUCACAUCUGAGAGGAUGGCCUCUCCAGCAGACAAUCAAGACUAAAAUCCAGAAGCUGCGCAGAGAGUAUGGGUGAAUUCCCUCAAACGUCUGCCUCACAACUGUGCAGUCACAGACAGACAAGAUAACAAGUCACAGUGUGUCCAGCAUGUGCAAGAGCGGUGUUAUCAACAUGCAGGAUGAUUCAUACGACCGGUGGCUGGAUUCUUUUCCUUGA